rnacentral:rRNA from 1 species
CAGUAGCCGCGGGAAUACGUAGGGUGCGAGCGUUAAUCGGAAUUACUGGGUGUAAAGCGUGCGCAGGCGGUUUUGUAAGACAGGCGUGAAAUCCCCGGGCUCAACCUGGGAAUGGCGCUUGUGACUGCAAAGCUGGAGUGCGGCAGAGGGGGAUGGAAUUCCGCGUGUAGCAGUGAAAUGCGUAGAUAUGCGGAGGAACACCGAUGGCGAAGGCAAUCCCCUGGGCCUGCACUGACGCUCAUGCACGAAAGCGUGGGGAGCAAACAGGAUUAGAUACCCCCGUAGUCCCUGUCUCUUAUAC